ensembl:lncRNA
GGGGAAGUCGGGGUUGGGGGGCAGGGAGCAACGAGGAGAUCAGUAGCAUCUGCUACAGGAAGGUGACAUUAUUAUCCCUAUUUUCCAGAUGAGGAAACUGAGAGAGAAGUUGAGUAACCUACAGCAAAUGAUGGAAUUUGAAUUUAGUGUAUUUGAUUGCAUAACCCACAAUUUUAACUACCACUUUAAUGGAACUCAUUUAUGAAUUGAAUAAACAUUUCUUGGGCAUAUCCUAUAUGCCAAACAUCCAGUGCUAGGGAUAUAAUGACAGGCAAAACACAGAUCUACUCUUGAGGAUCUCACGGCUUGGUAGUGACUUAUCCAGAAUUAGUCGGUAGCAGACCUGGGAUGAUAACCUAGGGCUUCAGUGACUGGCACAGUGUUCUUUGCUCUCCUCAAGCUGCGCUAUGGACCCACAGGGGAGUCUACUAGCAAAGGAGUUGGAAGACCACAGCGUAUACUCCAGCAUGGGUUGUUUCUCCAGGAAGCUGGCAGGUAGAUUCUACUGCUGUGCUUCUUCUACAGGUGAGAAAACAAAGGCCAUAGAAGGUGAAGUAACAGGGUCACAAAAAGCUUAAGUAACUUGUUCAAGAUCACAGAGCUAAAAAGUGACAGAGGCAAGAUUUGAAACCAGGAAGGCUGACAGAGCUCCUGCUCUCAACACCUGCGAUGGGACCUUGGGCACAUUUCUUCACUUUGCCGCAAUCAGCUCCUUCUUGGCCCUGAGAAGGGACCUCCUUCCACCUGGUCUGGGCUGGAGAAGCAGUGUCAGGACUGUCUGCAAUAUCAAGAGUGGCACCAGGCAUGCAGAGUUGCCGAUCAGCACUUCAUGGACACUUCUGAACUUAGAUUGUCUACUGAGUGGCCUGUGGCAAAAAAAAGAGGUUCUGAAUUCCCUUUGUUCUCCCCUUUUAUGUUGCCCAAAGGAAAACCAAAGCAAAAAACACCCUUUGAAGCUGUCUUCUAUAUGAAAAAAUAAACAGACCCCUUUGCAAUGAGAGCCUCGGAGCAGGAUUUCAGUAAAGCUGCCCUGAUUGCCAGUGCCCUGAUGAUGACUGCCCCAUGAAAGGAGGAUGGCUACAGAGCCUGCAGCCAGAGCCAACUCUUUACAUUUUUUUAUCCCAUUCACCAAAUUCUGUUCCUGACAAUUUCCAUUCUUUUAAGCCACACCAAUGAGAUUCUUUGAGCAUCCUUUACAUAAUAAAAAGUCAAUUAGUAUGCUAUUUCUUUCUUUCUUUUUUCUUUCUUUCAUUCUUUUUUUUUUUGGUGAGGAAUAUUGGCCCUAAGCUAACAUCUGUGCCAAUCUUCCUCUAUUUUGUAUAUGGGAUGCCACCACAGCAUGGCUUGAUGAGUGGUGUGUAGGUCCACACCCAGAAUCUGAACCCACAAACCCCAGGCCACCAAAGUGAAGCAUGUGAACUUAACCACUAUGCUACCAGGCUGGCCCCAAUAUGCUAACUAUUAAUAAGCUUGAUUCUUGUAUUCAGAAUGGCAAUGGCUGUGCUUUGAAUUGAUGGAGAGGGAGGUGUGUGUAGGAAAGGAACUGAUCUGGGAUAGUGAUCUUUGCAGCAUCCUCUGGGGUCCUCGUAGAAUUUUUCUUGCCCAUCCAUCCCCCUCCCUGACCCCCAACUCCUUUGAUGACAAGAGUGGUUUUGGCUGUUGUGGUCACUGGUUGCUUUGAAAUAAU